rnacentral:rRNA from 1 species
ACCCGCUGAACUUAAGCAUAUCAAUAAGCGGAGGAAAAGAAACCAACCGGGAUUGCCUUAGUAACGGCGAGUGAAGCGGCAAAAGCUCAAAUUUGAAAUCUGGUACCUUCGGUGCCCGAGUUGUAAUUUGGAGAGGGCAACUUUGGGGCCGUUCCUUGUCUAUGUUCCUUGGAACAGGACGUCAUAGAGGGUGAGAAUCCCGUGUGGCGAGGAGUGCGGUUCUUUGUAAAGUGCCUUCGAAGAGUCGAGUUGUUUGGGAAUGCAGCUCUAAGUGGGUGGUAAAUUCCAUCUAAAGCUAAAUAUUGGCGAGAGACCGAUAGCGAACAAGUACAGUGAUGGAAAGAUGAAAAGAACUUUGAAAAGAGAGUGAAAAAGUACGUGAAAUUGUUGAAAGGGAAGGGCAUUUGAUCAGACAUGGUGUUUUGUGCCCUCUGCUCCUUGUGGGUAGGGGAAUCUCGCAUUUCACUGGGCCAGCAUCAGUUUUGGUGGCAGGAUAAAUCCAUAGGAAUGUAGCUUGCCUCGGUAAGUAUUAUAGCCUGUGGGAAUACUGCCAGCUGGGACUGAGGACUGCGACGUAAGUCAAGGAUGCUGGCAUAAUGGUUAUAUGCCGCCCGUCUGAAA